UGUAACAUCACCACCACUCUCCAAUGUGCAAAUCAGAUAAGACUACAAUGUGAUUGUGAGAACUUGAUGCACUGUUAACUACCAACAUGAUAUCCUGCUGGCAAAAUAGUAGCUGUUGUUUUAUGCCUGUUAAAAAUGAAAAAAAAAGGACCAUAAUACAGCAGAGAGGGUAGGAAGGAACCUCUGAAAAACCUUGUGGAAUAAUUUGUCAACUUCCGAUUUUGUCUUUCUACAUGGAUAUUCAUUCAACAAGUUGUUUCAACAUUGGGAACAUAAUAAGUUUUAGCCAAGUUAUCUACACAUAAGCUUUGCUUUUCCAUUGCUAACAGUAAUGUGAAUUGUUGAUGACAGCAUCAAAUUUAAAUGUUUUUAACAUUCAUUAUUCAUUCAGUAGCACCCAGCCGCUGGCUUCUGCGCCACCGCUGGUGGACGCUGGUGCCAGCGCCAGCUUCCCACCCAUGCCACCCUUCCCCGGCUUCCCACCCUAGUGUCCCGCCUUGGCACUGGACAUGAGCUGGCUCACCUUGUUGGACCAGGAGGCAAGCAUUGUCACGCGAUGCUGGGGUCAGGCUUGGGGACCCUAGCACCACCCCAGAGCCAUCUGCAGCCGGGGGGGGAUGUAGGGUCGGAUGUGGAGUUUUCCUCGGAGGCAUCGCCACCUCCCUGUCCGACUCCGGCUGCAUAUCCUGAGUCGGCUGCUCCCCUCCCACCAGACAAAUGUCUCCAGGACCAAACUCAGAGACGGACGAGGAGGGCACCGGACUGGAGUCUGCCUUGAGGUGGUGUGGGGGCCCAUAUCAUACUCCUGCCUUACCACACAGGAGUAAACUGUGCUGGGUGCAGCCACUCUGGAGAAUCCCUGGGACCACUGGGACCAGACAGACAAUGUACCAGGCUGAGCUGAGCUGGCGCCAGAGGAAUUGCUCUCGGUCACCGUUUGUCCCUGGCAGCCUGGGAACCUCCGCAUCACAUAGGGACACUGUCACUUGAAUUACGGGGUUCCUAGGCUUGUAAAUCAAUGUAAAAUCAAAGCUGAAGUGGGUGAGAGGUGUAUUGAGAUUGGGCCCCAUCUUCUGUUGUAUUAUACGGAACAUGUUAUAUUUGGUGUUUUGAUGUAUAAAGCCAAUCUUUGUAAUCAGUGUAUUCGUGCAGGGGUGUGUGUGCAUGCGUACGUCUCUCUGCGGCAAUUCAUGCAUAUGUUAUAGCAUCUGA